UAGGGAAUUUUGCGCAAUGGGGGAAACCCUGACGCAGCAACGCCGCGUGAAUGAUAAAGCCCUUCGGGGUGUAAAGUUCUGUCAGUGGGGACGAAAGAUGACGGUACCCACAGAGGAAGCACCGGCUAACUCCGUGCCAGCAGCCGCGGUAAUACGGAGGGUGCGAGCGUUGUCCGGAAUCAUUGGGCGUAAAGAGUUCGUAGGUGGUACGUUAAGUCAGAUGUUAAAGGCGCAGGCUCAACCUGUGUAAGGCAUUUGAUACUGGCGAACUAGAAUGCGGUAGAGGUAAAGGGAAUUCCUGGUGUAGCGGUGAAAUGCGUAGAUAUCAGGAGGAACAUCGGUGGCGUAAGCGCUUUACUGGGCCGUAAUUGACACUGAGGAACGAAAGCCGGGGUAGCAAAUGGG
rnacentral:rRNA from 1 species